GCUGUGUCUCAUUUGCUAGAGCUCCAUUCUUAUGAGCACUUUGUAAAAGUAAAUCUUACUGAGUGCUCUUUUCUCAUCAUUUUGAAGGAUUAAAAAACCUUAAGAUUUUUUCAUUUUCUUUUGGGUGGUUUCAGUUUUCUCCCUUUCUAGUUGAUCUCCAUCUCACAGAAUUUAUGAUGUUUGUUUCAGCCUCUACAUGCAGACAUGAAAUGGGAUUCACUUGCCAGCAAAGCAUGACUUCUUCUGUGCACUGACUACCUGUCUCUGGGCUUCUUGACCUAUUUCUCAAGCUUUUCAGUAUAUAUACACAUACAAUGAGUUAAUCUACAACAAGCCUAACUCUUCUUAUAUAAAAGAGAUGAUUGUAGCAUUUAUCUUAAUAUCUCACGGGUACAAAAAGGUGUUUUGAUAGACAGCAAGACAUCAAUUACAGAUUUGAAGUGUGCUCAGAGACAUAUGGACGUUAUGUUAUCAGUCUGUUCAAAGAAUUAAGUAGUGAGGAUCCAAGAUGGCCCAGAUGUUACAAAUUUCUAUUGGCGGUCACUGAAGCAUGCAAUCUCAUGCAAGUGUUGCUUCUUGGAAUCAUUCAAGGCAGCCAGAAAAGGAUGGAAGGACUUAUUUUCAAUAUCCAAUACAUCUAAGAGAAUAACAAGUGCUUAUAAAGGCACAAGGAAAGAUCUACUUAAUUUACUUGUUGCAAGACGCAAGCCCUUUGUCUCAACAUCUCUAGCUUGUUGGCUAUAUAACCAUUGUAAGAAUGUGGACAAGAGUUCAGAAAGAGGAGCUGAGUCUGAAAGAAUCACAUUGUUGGAGAUUUUGACCACUACAUCAAGUCAUAAUGAUCACUGGAGGAGAGAUACAGGCAACUUCCUUCUUUGCAAAGUACAGAAUUGUUCCUCAAGGAAUUUUUCAGUGUCUGGGAAUUACUUCUCACUAUUUAUGUUAUGACUGUUGUUAUUUGUCACUACUUCAAUA
rnacentral:lncRNA from 1 species